GUAGGUAACGUACCCUCAGGACGGGGAUAGCCACGGGAAACUGUGGGUAAUACCCGAUGAUCUGGUCUGGAUUGAUUUCUGGAUCAGCAAAGGUGAGAUUCCACCCGAGGAGCGGCUUACGCGAUAUUAGCUUGUUGGCGAGGUAACGGCUCACCAAGGCUGCGAUAUCUAGGGGGUGUGAGAGCAUGGCCCCCACCACUGGGACUGAGAUACUGCCCAGACACCUACGGGUGGCUGCAGUCGAGAAUCUUCGGCAAUGGGCGAAAGCCUGACCGAGCGACGCCGCGUGCGGGACGAAGGCCUUCGGGUUGUAAACCGCUGUCGGGAGGGAUGAAGUGCACGGGGGCUAUCCCCUGUGUUUGACAGAGCUCCGGAGGAAGCACGGGCUAAGUUCGUGCCAGCAGCCGCGGUAAUACGAACUGUGCGAACGUUAUUCGGAAUCACUGGGCUUAAAGGGUGCGUAGGCGGCGCUGUAAGUCAGGUGUGAAAUCCCCCGGCUCAACCGGGGAAUGGCGCUUGAAACCGCAGUGCUU
rnacentral:rRNA from 1 species